GACGAACCGAGCGAACGUUAUUCGGAAUCACUGGGCUUAAAGGGCGCGUAGGCGGGCUAUCAAGUCAGGGGUGAAAGCCCCCAGCUCAACUGGGGAAGUGCCUUUGAUACUGGUGGCCUCGAGGGAGGUAGGGGCGUGCGGAACUUCCGGUGGAGCGGUGAAAUGCGUAGAUAUCGGAAGGAACACCGGUGGCGAAAGCGGCGCGCUGGACCUCUUCUGACGCUGAGGCGCGAAAGCCAGGGGAGCAAACGGG
rnacentral:rRNA from 1 species